rnacentral:rRNA from 1 species
CAAUAGCGUAUAUUAAUGUUGUUGCAGUUAAAAAGCUCGUAGUUGGAUUUCUGGUGGGAGCGGCCGGUCCGCCGUAAGGUGUGUACUUGGUUGUCUCCUGUCAUCCUUGUGGGAACUGCUCUGGCAUUAAGUUGUCGGGGUUAGGGAACACAUCGUUUACUGUGAAAAAAUUAGAGUGUUUAAAGCAGGCUUAUGCCGUUGAAUACAUUAGCAUGGAAUAAUAAGAUAGGACUUUGGCGUCUAUUUUGUUGGUUUGCACACCAAGGUAAUGAUUAAUAGGGAUAGUUGGGGGUACUCGUAUUUAAUUGUCAGAGGUGAAAUUCUUGGAUUUAUGAAAGACGAACUUCUGCGAAAGCAUUUACCAAAGAUGUUUUCAUUAA